AGGGAUGACAAGAUUUUGUGAACCAGAGGCACCUCCACAUAAGCACCUGCGGCACUUCUGCAGCCUCAACAGCACGGCAAUGUACCUGAUGUGCAUGCUGUGACAAGCUGCUAUAGGUAUGGCUGGACCUGGAGAAGGAGUGUAAGCAGACCAUGCUAUGUUGCUGAUCUGCACUGAUCUCCACAUCCAAGUUGGUCCCGCGACAGUUGGGCGCCACUGUGCCUUGCUUCAUUGACAAGGUGAUAUAAUAUGGUGCCCUGCUCGCUCUCACCCAAGCAACCCACUCCAGCGGUCUUCUCUCGGCAGACUGGAUGCAUCGAAAUACCGUUAGAAGGUCCCCUAAACAUUGCUUGGGACAUUUAUGACAUGCUUUUAUUUAAGCCGGAGGAUUUCAGGCUUAAUGAAAGUUCAAGUGGGUGUACAGAAAUACCUACGUAAAGUAUACUUGUCUUUUUCACUUACAAGUACAUACCAAUACUUUGCCUGACAUUUUUCACCCCAAAAUUACGCUUUACUUUGGAUUUGUGAACAAACCAUUACAGCAAAAAGCACUGCAUUAAGACGAGUACAAGUAAUCGAACAUAUACUAAACUUGCAAGAAUUACAUUUGCAUACUUGUAGUAAAUAUGAAAAUGAGGUACAA